UGAGUGGAGUAACUCAUUACGUUUUUAAAGCAAAUAAAUGGACAUUUUAGCAUGAUUCACGCAUCAUUAAUGCCAUGAGAUAUACUAGGUUGUUGCAUUAGAAUUCACGAAUAUGUUGCAUUGCAUAAUCUACUGUUGUUGUUGUGGAUGAAUGUUGGAUGAUCUAUAGCCCUCGAUCUAUGAUGUGACGAUGCGAUAUGUACGGUACGGAAUGUAAGACCAGUGGAACCCAUUCUACAUUCGCUGGCACUAUGUAAGAGAAAGUCCAAGACCCAUUCUACGUUCUGGCACAUUGGAAUGUUAUGUUAUGCUAUGUAAGAGAAAGACCAGGACCCAUUCUACGUUCUGGCACAGUUGGACCAUGUAGAGGGCUAUUGGUGAUAAAUUCAUCCUUGAUGUGAUAUGAUUGUGAUGUGAUGCAUUCCAUGUUAUCAUAUGUUUUAAAAGUUUUAUUAUUCUGCUCACUGGGC
rnacentral:lncRNA from 1 species